GUCAAGGGCAAAGUCCAGCUCCCAUAGGAGUUCGGACGAAGCUUACCAGCAGUUGAAGUUGAGGAUGAAGCUCGGCUCCCGUAGGAGUCCGGACAGAGUUUGCCUACAGUCGAAGUUGGAGGAGGAGUCCGGCUCCCGUAAGAGCCCGGACGGAGCUUGCCUGCAGUUGAGGUCGGAGAUGGAGUCCGAUUCUCGUAGGAGUCCGGAUGGAGUCUUCUUAUGAUCAGAGUCGAGGGCGAAGUCUGGCUCC
rnacentral:lncRNA from 1 species